UACGAAGGGGGCGAGCGUUGUUCGGAUUUACUGGGCGUAAAGGGCGCGCAGGCGGCUCUGAAAGUCAGAUGUGAAAGCCCCGGGCUUAACCUGGGAAUUGCAUUUGAUACUCUGGAGCUUGAGUACGGGAGAGGAGAGUGGAAUUCCCAGUGUAGAGGUGAAAUUCGUAGAUAUUGGGAAGAACACCGGUGGCGAAGGCGGCUCUCUGGACCGUAACUGACGCUGAGGCGCGAAAGCGUGGGGAGCAGACAGG
rnacentral:rRNA from 1 species